UUAAGUUCAGCGGGUAGUCUCACCCGAUUUGAGGUCAAGGUUUGUUGUGGGUCAAGCCGACCACCUACGGAGAGGCGGCGACCGGAACACCAUCGUUGUCGAUGAGACGGUUAGAAGCGGGCAACGGUGCCAAACCCAAGACGCAGAAACAUCUUAUCACGUCAAAGAUCGACAAAGCGAACCCCACUAAUUCGUUUAAG
rnacentral:misc_RNA from 1 species